UGUUUUUGUGGAGGCGAAGAAAAAGUGUCACGCAAGGUGUGUUUGCAAGGAAUUAUGGGUAAAGAAACUUUUGGCGUGUUUUCAAUACACUUGCUCCGGCUCCUUUCGGAUUUUGUGGAUUUAUGGAUCGAAUAUCUGCCCAGGUAACAGCAUCCUCCGACACCUGGGAGCAGGAGGAAGAAGAGAAGCAGCUCAGUGCCGGCUCCUGACGAUAUUAAUGAAAUGAGGCGUCAAGCGAAUCCUCGCUGAGCGGAGAUGUAUUUACUGAAUACUCUCUGUCUGAACAGAGAGAUGGAUGGAGCCCAAACCACCGAAAGUGAUGGGUGAUCGUCUCCACCGGUCACACUGAGCAUCAAUGUGUUCUUCUGAAACUGGACCAGGCGAACCCUGGUGACGUUCUCCAGGUCCAUGUCUCCAUUGGUGCUGUCUGGGGAGUCUCCGUUCAGGUAAGGUGAAGUGGGUGGGGGGGUCACCCUCAGCGCCUCGUCGCUGUAGACCUCGUGGGCCACGACAUCGUGGGUCUGCAGCAGAGCCUGGAGAGUACACAGUCAGUCACGAAUGUUAAGACUCAUGCAUCCAACUGCACGGUAUCCCUGUUUUUUCUAUAGGUGAACCCAGUGGGAAUGAAGCCCAUUAACGCUGCAAGUAUUGAUGCUAUACUGUACACACAGGAAAACGUUUUUGGUAGCCGCAAGCAAAGUAAACAAUUGUUGCGGGCAGUAAUGUUGAGAAAAGAGAGUCAGACUUGUGGUUGGAAUCUUAAAUUGGCCUCGAGAAGAAAACACUUAUGUGUGAAUAACUAAUAAAUAAAAACAGAUACAUACUACCAAAUCCCAGUCAAGAGGAAGGUACAUGUGGUUGCAUGUGUGCAUCCAUGUGUGUAUGUGAUUGGAUAGCUCCAGCGUUAGAAAGAGUGUGGCUUACACUAAUCCUCUCUGGGCACUAAUAAUGUUACUGACACUGUGUUUUUACAAACCCAUCUACUAGCUGUGUUUGCCAAAUGAUCACAUCUGCUCAUCAGAGCAACAACAUGUUCACUGAUGAUGCAUGACAGUCAUGGAGAGUUGAAACAGCUGGCACUAAAGGCUUUUGACUUAUGGUGAACAUUUGUGCGGCUGAGAAGAACAACACGAUUACAAAGGCAUCAGCAAUGGAUUCUAACAAGUGUUUGCCAUUGAAUACCAACAAAAAUGACUGCGUACUAAGACAAAGCAUGCCCUUGGAGCAUUGCCUCAUAGGUGAAGUCAUGUCUCACUUGCCAAAUCUUUCACUUUAAACCCUUUCCUGUGUAGUGCAUGUUUCUUCCCAUGUGCAACCAUGCAAAAGCCCUUCACAGCCAUUCUGCUAGCACCAUUACAUGUCUGUGGCAGCAUGAAAAACCCAGCCGGUCGGGUCAGAGAGCAAGACGGGCUGAUUGGACUGAACCAAACCUAAAGCGAGACAGCUCCACCACUAGAUGUAUCUGACAAACAUGGCGGUAUUGACGGUCACCGCAAAAGUGUCUCUCUCUGCUCGUGGGCUUGCCAAGCUCAGGUGCUAAGCAGCUUUGUGGCCUGAGGGAGUUAUGUGGAUUGUCAAAAGAACCCUACUCCUGACACAUUAGGCUGCAAUCUCACACACCAAUAGGCAUGCUCUACAUGCAAAAAAUGUGUACACCUGUCAAAACAAUAAGAAUGUGGAUGUUGCUGUGUGUGUGUUUCUGUAACAUCCCACCAUGAAGUGCGGCUGUGUGAGGAUCCUCCUGAGCUCCUUGGCCUCCAUGUUCUCUGGGUAACAUGAGAUGGUUUCCAGAACCUGGUGAAGAAAACAAAGACAUGGAGACAGAGGUGUGAAUCAUAAUAAAUAACAUUGACAAGUACAAAUAUGUCACAGCACAGUGUCUGAUUGUGAUCAUUGUCUGUUCAUUAUUUACUUGCUUUGCCUAGUAAGCGUUGCUUAUUGUUCAGGACUCGAUUAUUAAACAUCAGAUUAGUGGUUUAAAGCCACAUGAAGGAGACCCCA